AUUGAACGCUGGCGGCAGGCCUAACACAUGCAAGUCGAGCGGAGCGGCGGACGGGUGAGUAAUGCCUAGGAAUCUGCCUGGUAGUGGGGGAUAACGUCCGGAAACGGGCGCUAAUACCGCAUACUAUCAGAUGAGCCUAGGUCGGAUUAGCUAGUAGGUGAGGUAACGGCUCACCUAGGCGACGAUCCCUAGCUGGUCUGAGAGGAUGACCAGCCACACUGGAAGUGAGACACGGUCCAGACGCCUACGGGAGGCAGCAGUGGAGAAUAUGGCACAAUAGGCGCAAGCCUGAUGCAGCCAUGCCGCGUGUGUGAAGAAGGCCUUCGGGUUGUAAAGCACUUUCAGCGGGGAGGCGUUACCCGCAGAAGAAGCACCGGCUAACUCCGUGACAGCAGCCGCGGUAAUUC
rnacentral:rRNA from 1 species